rnacentral:misc_RNA from 1 species
AAGUCAUAACAAGGUUUCCGUAGGUGAACCUGCGGAAGGAUCAUUAAUACGUUUCUAAACGAACGUUUUAAACUCCAAAAUUUUAAUAGUGGAAAUAUAACUUCCGGAUGCAUAUGUAGGGAGGGGAAGAUUAGACCUUAAAAAGUCUGGUUUUCUCCUUUUUGAAAAGGAAACUUCAUGCACUUUAUUGUGUGUGACACUUCAGAGUAGAGCAGUGAGGUGAAAACUUCGGUUUUGGUUUCUGAAAUACAUCUGUAUCCGGUUAUUUUCUGUUCUACAACCCCUUUUAUAAAACAAUAAACCCCAUGUACAACAACUUGAACUGAACAAAUUUUGUUUUCUCCUUUGUGAGGAAAUGAAGUAAAUCUGAACUUAAGAACAACUCUUAACAACGGAUAUCUUGGUUCUC